rnacentral:rRNA from 1 species
AUGAACGCUGGCGGCGUGCCUAAUACAUGCAAGUCGAGCGAACGGACGAGAAGCUUGCUUCUCUGAUGUUAGCGGCGGACGGGUGAGUAACACGUGGAUAACCUACCUAUAAGACUGGGAUAACUUCGGGAAACCGGAGCUAAUACCGGAUGAUAUUUUGAACCGCAUGGUUCAAAAGUGAAAGACGGUCUUGCUGUCACUUAUAGAUGGAUCCGCGCUGCAUUAGCUAGUUGGUAAGGUAACGGCUUACCAAGGCAACGAUGCAUAGCCGACCUGAGAGGGUGAUCGGCCACACUGGAACUGAGACACGGUCCAGACUCCUACGGGAGGCAGCAGUAGGGAAUCUUCCGCAAUGGGCGAAAGCCUGACGGAGCAACGCCGCGUGAGUGAUGAAGGUCUUCGGAUCGUAAAACUCUGUUAUUAGGGAAGAACAUAUGUGUAAGUAACUGUGCACAUCUUGACGGUACCUAAUCAGGAAGCCACGGCUAACUACGUG